rnacentral:rRNA from 1 species
AACGAACGCUGGCGGCAUGCCUAACACAUGCAAGUCGAACGAGACCUUCGGGUCUAGUGGCGCACGGGUGCGUAACGCGUGGGAACCUGCCCUUAGGUUCGGAAUAACUCCCCGAAAGGGGUGCUAAUACCGGAUAAUGUCUUCGGACCAAAGAUUUAUCGCCUUUGGAUGGGCCCGCGUUGGAUUAGCUAGUUGGUAGGGUAAAAGCCUACCAAGGCGACGAUCCAUAGCUGGUCUGAGAGGAUGAUCAGCCACACUGGGACUGAGACACGGCCCAGACUCCCACGGGAGGCAGCAGUGGGGAAUAUUGGACAAUGGGCGAAAGCCUGAUCCAGCAAUGCCGCGUGAGUGAUGAAGGCCUUAGGGUUGUAAAGCUCUUUUACCCGGGAUGAUAAUGACAGUACCGGGAGAAUAAACUCCGGCUAACUCCGU